rnacentral:rRNA from 1 species
UACGGGGGGGGCAAGCGUUGUUCGGAAUUACUGGGCGUAAAGGGCUCGUAGGCGGCCAACUAAGUCAGACGUGAAAUCCCUCGGCUUAACCGGGGAACUGCGUCUGAUACUGGAUGGCUUGAGUUUGGGAGAGGGAUGCGGAAUUCCAGGUGUAGCGGUGAAAUGCGUAGAUAUCAGGAGGAACACCGGUGGCGAAGGCGCUCAUCUGGCCCAAUACUGACGCUGAGGCGCGAAAGCUAGGGGAGCAAACGGG